UAUGUGAUGGGUGAGGGCGACGCUGCCUGCCGCCACGCAGCUGUCCCCUGUGUGAUAGGCCACCGGACAGCGGAUACAACGCAUCAGACGGCCUGGACAGGAGGCAGAGAACGGGGACAUUUUCAGCUUCAGACUCAGCUCGUUACCCACAGCUUCCACUGCAGACAGGAAAUCUGAGAAGCUAAAAAACAACGCUGAGGCUGUUUUACCUUUACUGGCUCGCUGCAGGUCUCUCUCCAGGCAGCAGGUAGAGCAGCUGUGCUGAGGGCAGCAGAAGCCUCCCUCCGAGCUGCUGGUGGUGCCCGGGAGUUUACGGACACAAUCCUCGUGGUAGUAACAACCGCAUCCAGACACAGAGCAGCGCGUCACCUCCCGGCCGGCCGUUUUACAGCUGAAACAAGGAUGAUUGCCUGGAAAAAGAGUGAGAGAGUGAUAGUACAGAGCCAAACACAACAGAUUAGAUGUACAGUAAAGAUGUAUUCUGGUGCGCUCACCAUUUCUGCAUUCCAAGCAGGUGAAUCUGCCUUCAGGUAGGGACGUCAGACCGAGACAGUCCAUGUGAAACUGUCUGCUGCAGUCACCUUCACAUACCACCAAGCCCUCUCCGUAUAGCUCGCAGAUCUACACACAAACACACAGAGAAGGACGGUUGAUAUAGCUGAACCUGUAAGCUUUUAGAGAGCACAACAGAGAUGAAUCAUGAGCUGCGCUGACCUGGCAGACGGUGUCCCUCUUGCCGGUGCUGCCGUCCUGACGGGACAAGCCGGAGUCCACAGACUGAGUAUCUGAAGCGUCUGCAUCUGCUGCUGCUGGACUAUCAAGACUCUUCCCAAAUAAACCCUGUGAGAUAAAGAAAGAGCGAGAGCGUUGAUGUGUUUUGUGUGAAGGAAUCCAGUCUCAUAAAGCACAGGUGCACCAAAUGUAAACCAACUGUGUUCGACCGCUCUUUGAAGUGGAUAAAGAUCCAGACUAUUAAAUGGUGCGAUCAAGUCUGCAACAAAUUAUUAUUCUCCUUAUUAAUUAAUGUAUCAAAUAGUAUUCCCAUCACAAUUCUCCAUGGCCAUGAUGAUGUUUUAUAAUGUCUUUUGUCAAUCCGAUAUUCAGUGCAGAUAUAUUUAGAUCAUGAUUACAAAAGAAAACUAUAAAUUAUUCACAUUUCAGAAACAAUGAAUUUAGCUGGAAAUGCACAAAUAAAAAAUUAAAAUGCACAAAGUUAAACAGAGACAAUGAUGGUGAGAUGGCUGAAGGUUUGUCUUGUAAAUGUUGCACUGUGAACAUCUCUGCGAGUAAAUACUGUGUUUAUUCUGACUUCUGCAUGUUGAUGUUGAUGUUUAUACAUAUUUUGUGUGGAGGAGAAAUACAGUAUUUUCCUCUGCGUGUGUGUGAGGGGUGUUUUCUAGGCCUACCUGUGGGUCGUUGAGGCCUCUAGAGUCAGAGUCAGAGGUGUCUCUGUACUGAGAAGAAGCCAUCUCCACAUCUGUGGACGCUCUGCUUCGCUUCUUUAGGGGCUUGCAAGCAUCUGAGAUCUCACUGGCUCCUAGAGGAUCACAUAGGGUGGCAAUCAUUUCUUCACUUUUUUUCAAGUAAACGGAGUUCCCACUACAGAGGGUUCAUGGGAGGCAUGAAAGAAGGAUCCCCUACCUUUCUGUGAACCGGUCCUCAGUGUGGUCUCGGGAGCCAUUUCAGCCUGUGAGGAGGUUAAACAAGAAGUUUAGGUUAUCGUGGUGCUAAUUUUGAUUCAGUUUGAACCAAGUUAGUUUGAGGAAAGGUGGUAUAAUUUUCCAGUGUUGUAAAAUCUUCUCUUUAAUAUUACAAACCUUUGUAAAAAAAAAAGGUAGAAAUCUGUAAAAUGUUCCAAACUGCUUUAUUACGAGUUAUGUUCCUAUUCUUAGAUUUAUUUUCUGUCUCUCUAGUAUACACAUUUAUUUACUGUCAAUUUCUCCCUUUCUCUUUUUAAUUUGAAUAUUUUGAUCCCGUUCCAAUCUCAAAAUACAAUCCUAUAUCUUUCAUAUCAGUUUUAUAUCUGUAAAUGUACAUUUAUAUCAUUUUGUAAUGCUUUCAUACAAAUGGAAAUGAGCAUUGAUACAACAAUAUAUAAACUGUAUAUAUAAACUUCUUUGGCUCAAUAAAAAAGGUUUUUACAAUGCA